UCCGGAUAAGCUCGGCUGUCUGCAGGGAGCGUCCCCGCCCCGACGCGAGGGUCCCCGCCUCCCGCGACCGCACCGCCCACCGGCUCCGCCCGCUCAGCCCGGCUAACGGUCGGCGCAGCCUGCCACGAGGGAGCGUCCGCGGCCCGCGCAGAGACGUGCACCAAGCCGAUGGCGUGGACGCGGCCGGGCCCGGCGCGUGGGCCGCCAGAGCGUGAGUCCAGCCAGGCGAGUGCUUCAGUCCGCGUGCGGGCAGGCGCGCGUGGGCGUGUCUCCCCGGGCCCACGCGCGUCCCCUUGAAUCAGUGUCUCGGCUCUCUUCCAGGACGACGACUUCUGAAAGCGAGCCAAGGAGAUCCGCAGUUCAUAUUGGACUUCUGGCUGCCUGUGGAAGGAGGUGAUUCAGAAGACAGGAAGAAGCCCAAGGAAAAUUUAUCUCCAGUCUCUGGAGUUUGAUGAGGCUCAAGGAGAGACAUCUCAACAUCGUGGGGUUCCAGCUGCCUGUGCUCUCCCAGUUCUUAUGGCCAGAUUUGAAUUGUCAGGAAUCUAACAGCACAUUAAAACUUCAAGACAAAGCAGUGGACUCCAGCAGUGUUACCACCUUGAAGACAGGAGUGUGGAAGAGAAUCAUGAAAGUGAAGAUUUGGGCAAACAGCUCACCCUUGCAGUUGUCUUAAAGAGUGAUUAAUUUCCCUUUCAGUACCGUCUACCCGAGCCGAAGUGCUUCUGCAGAGACGAUCCUGUGAAGCCUGUUUAGGGGAUCAUCCCCGCUAGACAGACAGCUGCGAGGGGGCACCGCUUCCCAGCGUGGAUUUCAGAUUAUGACCAAUCAAAGGCCGAAGCUAAGGAACACCUGUCAGCGGCGUUUGCUGCAAGGAGACCAGCUCUUUAAUCAAAUUUCAUUGUACUUCAGAAAAAGGUUUAUUUUAAAUGUGGCGUCUGCUUUUAUGAUUCAUCCCUCUCAGCUGAGACAUCAAUUUGGGGCUUAUUUAUGAUGUUGUUUUAGGGUAAAACGAGAAACUGCAAGAAAAUAUUUCAAGAAAGUGGCCUUUCCCAGACAUUUAAUUAGCAACUUUCUAAGAUGGGAAAAUACAAAAUUGAAAACUUUAGUUUUAAAUUUCUGUGUAUGAAUAUAAUUAGUGUUAGGGAUUCUUUUGAGGACACCUCAGAAUGUUGAUGCUUGUCGUGAAGUCUGGAGAACUUGCCUUGUGGAAAUCCGUUCCGCUUAUCUGUGAGCAGUGCAAACUAUCAUUGAUACUGAUGGGUUCAGAAAGGCCAUGCCUGCUUUCAACUUGGCCCUAAUUGGAGGCCCCGCUAAGUCCAUAAUACCAGGUACUUUCUCACAGCUGCAGACCAUGGAGUCUAACUAUCAGAAGACAAACUUCACUCUGCAAACUGUAACUUAAUGGUAUAACUGUGUGCAGCCCCGAAUAUCAGUUAAUUUUCAAAACAUUUUAUUCUACAGCAAUUAGCUCAGGUCCUGGAGGGCAAAAUGACAAGAGGUUACUCGUUCACUAUGUAUUUAAUUAAUUGAAAAAUGCUCCAAUUGCCUUUACAGUUGUUAUUAGAGAGCGGAAUCAGUGUUGCCAGCGCUCAACCAUAAUUGGAACCCCAGGGAAUUAAAUAUUUAGCAUUAGUAAUGUAACAGCACUUAGGACACAAAUUUCUAUUUUCGUAAUGAAAGCUAUACACUGUGAGAGCCAGCGGCUGAAAGGACAGCUGUGACAGGCGAACGGCCUGGGACAUUUCAAUAAGACACCUCAUUGGACAGCGAGUCUUACCACAUUAUGCGUUUGUAAGAGACCUGCAAGUUUAAUUCCCACGAGGAACUCAUAGCCCAAGUCUUUAGCGUCCUAAUUGCAUGCAGGAUGAGUGCUUGGGCAAAUGUCUUGCCAUAAGUGCCUGAAAUUCAUCCUGCUUUCUAAAUAAUCGCAUAUAAGUUCGUGCCUUUGUCAAUUUAAAAAUACUGAGACUGUCAGGGAAUAAGGAUCUUAUUUGUUUUCCAUUUAAUUAUAUUUUAAGCACACAUGCUUUCUGUGCUACAAUGAGAAAAGUUGGCUAUUGGGCUCUAAUGAGCUGCAGUGUAGACACUGGAGACCCUGAGGGAUUCGCUCCAUAAAUUAGCUGGAUAAAAAGUACUUGGUUAGGAUAUAGUUGAUGGCUGAGCUGUUCGCAGAACCAGUUACAGUACUGUCUCUCGCUCCUGUAUCAUUCUAAACAGGCUCUGUAGAGACUUUAACAGCUGCCUGUUAAAGCUGCUCAACUUGUCAAAAUGUAUUAUAUUACUCCACUAAUAAAUAGUAUUAAAGGGCAUUUGACUUCACCUCUCAUUUUCAGAGGGGAUCAGGUUGGUAAACACAACUGGCUUAGGCUGGCCUUAUUUUAAUUUGUUUAUGUCAGCUAAGUAAUAUUGAAGGGCCAUGUUUUAAAUUUGCAAGCAUUACCUUCCCAGGGAGGCAGAGCUUCCAAAAUAUGAUACGCAGUGGAAACAAGGGAUCGAGACACUUAUUGUAGAAUGUUUCUCAUUGAAAAACGUCAGAUUUUGACAUUCUUAGGCCACAUUUAAAGAACUUGAGAGCCCAUGGCUAAGCUGACAGUCUCAGAAAGUUUGGUUCCUUUGCGUUUUUCAUUUCUAGGAAAGUAAAAGUCACAAGAUAAAUAGUGUCACAACUUCCUUUUGAUUUUCCAUUGUUCCUCUGUCUAUUUUGGAUUAUUAUAAGUAAUCAUGAUUUUGUAUCCACUUUUAAACAAUUUUUCAAAACAAUGCAUGUUUACUUAAAAAAUAUACUUCAUUUGAUAAAGUCUUCCUUAGACCUUCCCUCAAC